UGUCGUCAGCUCGUGUUGUGAAAUGUUGGGUUAAGUCCCGCAACGAGCGCAACCCUUAUCCUUUGUUGCCAGCGGUCCGGCCGGGAACUCAAAGGAGACUGCCAGUGAUAAACUGGAGGAAGGUGGGGAUGACGUCAAGUCAUCAUGGCCCUUACGACCAGGGCUACACACGUGCUACAAUGGCGCAUACAAAGAGAAGCGACCUCGCGAGAGCAAGCGGACCUCAUAAAGUGCGUCGUAGUCCGGAUUGGAGUCUGCAACUCGACUCCAUGAAGUCGGAAUCGCUAGUAAUCGUGGAUCAGAAUGCCACGGUGAAUACGUUCCCGGGCCUUGUACACACCGCCCGUCACACCAUGGGAGUGGGUUGCAAAAGAAGUAGGUAGCUUAACCUUCGGGAGGGCGCUUACCACUUUGUGAUUCAUGACUGGGGUGAAGUCGUAACAAGGUAACCGUAGGGGAACC
rnacentral:rRNA from 3 species